rnacentral:rRNA from 1 species
UACAGGGGGUGCAAACGUUGCUCGGAAUUAUUGGGCGUAAAGCGCGCGUAGGCGGCUACUUAAGUCGGAUGUGAAAGCCCUUGGCUCAACUGAGGAAGUGCACCCGAAACUGAGUGGCUAGAGUACGGAAGAGGCGAGUGGAAUUCCUGGUGUAGCGGUGGAAUGCGCAGAUAUCAGGAGGAACACCAAUAGCGAAGGCAGCUCGCUGGGACGUUACUGACACUGAGGCGCGAAAGCGUGGGGAGCGAACAGG